rnacentral:lncRNA from 1 species
UUGCUGUAACUGAACCUUUUGUACUUCUUACAAUACAUUUUGUCAACGACCCUGACAUGCCGGCCCCAUCCAACCGCACCGCGGGACGAGAAGAGCCACCACGACACGCACUCAAGCCCAACACCAGGGUCCAAGCCCAUCUGGAACCAGUGAAGCCCAACCACGUUAACUAUUUAAGUCCACAAUACUCGAGGAGGAGGUAUUCGUGUAAGAUCACGAACCGGCUCGACGAUGGCACCUUCUUCUCUCCAUCUCGAUCCCCCUUUUGGUCAUUCGUGUAACAGAGUUGUAGUCGAGAUUGCUAUCUAAAUUCAUGAGUAUAAUUGCUAGAUCGAGA